CGAACGCUGGCGGCAUGCCUAACACAUGCAAAUCGAACGAGACCUUCGGGUCUAGUGGCGCCCGGGUGCGUAACGCGUGGGAACCUGCCCUUAGGUUCGGAAUAACUCCCCGAAAGGGGUGCUAAUACCGGAUAAUGUCUUCGGACCAAAGAUUUAUCGCCUUUGGAUGGGCCCGCGUUGGAUUAGCUAGUUGGUAGGGUAAAAGCCUACCAAGGCGACGAUCCAUAGCUGGUCUGAGAGGAUGAUCAGCCACACUGGGACUGAGACACGGCCCAGACUCCUACGGGAGGCAGCAGUGGGGAAUAUUGGACAAUGGGCGAAAGCCUGAUCCAGCAAUGCCGCGUGAGUGAUGAAGGCCUUAGGGUUGUAAAGCUCUUUUACCCGGGAUGAUAAUGACAGUACCGGGAGAAUAAGCUCCGGCUAACUCCGUG
rnacentral:rRNA from 1 species